AGCGUCUGGAAAGGCGCGCGAUACAGGGUGACAGCCCCGUACACAAAAAUGCACAUAUUGUGAGCUCGAUGAGUAGGGCGGGACACGUGGUAUCCUGUCUGAAUAUGGGGGGCCCAUCCUCCAAGGCUAAAUACUCCUGACUGACCGAUAGUGAACCAGUACCGUGAGGGAAAGGCGAAAAGAACCCCGGCGAGGGGAGUGAAAAAGAACCUGAAACCGUGUACGUACAAGCAGUGGGAGCACGCUUAGGCGUGUGACUGCGUACCUUUUGUAUAAUGGGUCAGCGACUUAUAUUCUGUAGCAAGGUUAACCGAAUAGGGGAGCCGAAGGGAAACCGAGUCUUAACUGGGCGUUAAGUUGCAGGGUAUAGACCCGAAACCCGGUGAUCUAGCCAUGGGCAGGUUGAAGGUUGGGUAACACUAACUGGAGGACCGAACCGACUAAUGUUGAAAAAUUAGCGGAUGACUUGUGGCUGGGGGUGAAAGGCCAAUCAAACCGGGAGAUAGCUGGUUCUCCCCGAAAGCUAUUUAGGUAGCGCCUCGUGAAUUCAUCUCCGGGGGUAGAGCACUGUUUCGGCA
rnacentral:rRNA from 1 species